UUAGACAUCGCCAUAUCACCCUGAAGCCCAAGGUUACUCACUGCAGCUAAGCAUGGCUGAGCCUGGUCAGUACCUAGAUGGGAGACCACAUGAGAAAACUAGGUUGCUGUUGGAA
ensembl:rRNA 5S_rRNA 5S ribosomal RNA